GACGGCGGGUGCGAGCGUUAUUCGGAAUCAUUGGGCGUAAAGAGCGUGUAGGCGGCCGAUUAAGUCAGGUGUGAAAGCCCGGGGCUCAACCUCGGAAGGGCACUUGAAACUAAUCGGCUUGAGUUCGGGAGAGGGAAGCGGAAUUCCUGGUGUAGAGGUGAAAUUCGUAGAUAUCAGGAGGAACACCGGUGGCGAAGGCGGCUUCCUGGACCGAAACUGACGCUGAGACGCGAAAGCGUGGGGAGCAAACAGG
rnacentral:rRNA from 1 species